GGGUGUUUGAGUUGGUGAAAUGUUACUUGAUAUUAUCUGGCAGGUUCCCUUGGCUUAACCUCACUUAGCUCAGCUGUAAAAUGGGGCUAUCCUGGUAGCUCCCCUGCGUUCUGUUGAUAAAGGAGAUAACUAGGGCAAGUAUUUAGCACAGCAUGCAAUACACAAUUUUAGUAAUUACCUCUCGAUAAGCUGAACAGGCAACUUUUGGGUCUAACCAUUUUAGGUUAUUUGAAAGCUGUUGAAGUAAUCUAGGUUUUUCUUCUUUUGUUGUGUUUUAGGGUAAAAACUUAAGUGAUGAAGCUGUACACAUUUAAGUACAUCACUUGCAGGACUCUUCAGUGUUCAGCUUAUGCCAUUUAGGAAACAAAAUGGCACAUCAUCAUGCAGGCUCAGAUUCUCUCGGAGCUGUGUGAACUCGGCUUUGACAGUCAGAAUGAAUGAGAAACUGCAAAACCAGAUGCUCAGAAGACUGGAUAUGUAUGACAUGUAUGGCCUGUUAUCUAAGAAAACCUAAGUCCAGGUACUAUAGAAAGUGUUGCUUGUGACUAUUUGUGAAAGAAAGGUACCCUACUGCCCCCGAGGAACAGGAGAAAAUGAACAGGCCUCUCGGUUUCUGCCAUACCUCACCGAGGAGAAAAGCACCUUUGCACUUGUAUACCCCCAUGUUAAGAUUUUAGCCAGAACAGCCUUUAGAGGUAGAAGUAAGCUAUCAGGAGUAAAUUCUCUCAGCUACACUGUGUGAAGCCAGCCAUACAUGAGACCCUGUCUCAAAACCAAACAUGUAAAGUCAUCUCGGAGCGUGGAGUUCAGUUCUGUCCUCAGAGAUCCCUCCUCUCCUCUGAAGCUUUGUGAAAUGAGCAGCUUAAUCUCUGCAUGGACAUCUACCACCACCAUGCUCUCCAAGGGGGCGUCCUGCUUCAUGAUGGAUAGGGGCUGGACUGAGCCCCAGGUUCGAAUCCAGUGCAGCCUGACAUGUACCUUCUAAAACAGGUUUUCUCCUCCAACUGCAGGUUCCUCCCCAGUAGACUUGGUCUUUCUGACAGUAACUUUGUGGUAAACUCCCAAGGCUGACCUCCCUUCCUUAACACCAUGCCGCUUUUCUCCUUAAACACUGUUUUCCUUCCAUCUCUGCGACUUCCUAAGCCUGUACUUUUUAGCUUUCGCUGAAUCCAGAUUCCUCUAGCACAGAGGUUUUCAGCCUUCCUAAUGCUGCAACCUUUUAAUACACUUCUUCAUGUUGUGAUAACCUCAACCAUAAAAUUAUUUCAUUGCUACUUUAUGACUGUACUAUUAUGACUUACAAAUAUCUGAUAUGCAGGACACCUGAUGUGUGAUCCCCAAAGGAUAAGAACAGUG
ensembl:lncRNA